UGGGGAAUUUUGGACAAUGGGCGCGAGCCUGAUCCAGCCAUGCCGCGUGCGGGAAGAAGGCCUUCGGGUUGUAAACCGCUUUUGUCAGGGAAGAAAUCUUCUGAGUUAAUACCUCGGGAGGAUGACGGUACCUGAAGAAUAAGCACCGGCUAACUACGUGCCAGCAGCCGCGGUAAUACGUAGGGUGCAAGCGUUAAUCGGAAUUACUGGGCGUAAAGCGUGCGCAGGCGGUUUUGUAAGACAGAGGUGAAAUCCCCGGGCUCAACCUGGGAACUGCCUUUGUGACUGCAAGGCUUGAGUGCGGCAGAGGGGGAUGGAAUUCCGCGUGUAGCAGUGAAAUGCGUAGAUAUGCGGAGGAACACCGAUGGCGAAGGCAAUCCCCUGGGCCUGCACUGACGCUCAUGCACGAAAGCGUGGGGAGCAAACAGGAUUAGAUACCCUGGUAGUCCACGCCCUAAACGAUGUCAACUGGUUGUUGGGAAGGUUCCUUCUCAGUAACGUAGCUAACGCGUGAAGUUGACCGCCUGGGGAGUACGGCCGCAAGGUUGAAACUUAAAGGAAUUGACGGGGUC
rnacentral:rRNA from 1 species